rnacentral:rRNA from 1 species
CAGUAGUCAUAUGCUUGUCUCAAAGAUUAAGCCAUGCAUGUCUAAGUAUAAGCUUUUAUACGGUGAAACUGCGAAUGGCUCAUUAAAACAGUUAUAGUUUAUUUGAUGGUCUCUUUACAUGGAUAACCAUGGUAAUUCUAUGGCUAAUACAUGCGCAUUUGCCUCCUUCUCUGGAGGGGCUGUGUUUAUUAGAUACAGAACCAACCCACUUUGUUGUGGAGUCUUGGUGAUUCAUAGUAACCGAACGGAUCGCAAUUGGCUUCGGCCCGCGAUAGAUCUUUCAAGUUUCUGACCUAUCAGCUUUCGACGGUAGGGUAUUGGCCUACCGUGGCAGUGACGGGUAACGGGGAAUUAGGGUUCGAUUCCGGAGAGGGAGCCUGAGAAACGGCUACCACAUCUAAGGAAGGCAGCAGGCGCGCAAAUUACCCAAUGAAAACAGUUUCGAGGUAGUGACGAGAAAUAACAAUACAGGGCAUUUUAUGCUCUGUAAUUGGAAUGAUGGGAAUCCAAAACCCUUUCAGAGUAACAAUUGGAGGGCAAGUCUGGUGCCAGCAGCCGCGGUAAUUCCAGCUCCAAUAGCGUAUAUUAGAGUUGUUGCAGUUAAAAAGCUCGUAGUUGGAUUUCUGUCGUGGUCUUCCGGUUUCGCCCGUACGGGUGUUAACUUGGUUAGCCCUCGGCAUUCUUCCGGUCCCUUCCCCGCUUCAUUGCGUGGUAGGUUUAUCCGGAACUUUUACUUUGAGAAAAAUAGAGUGUUUCAAGCAGGCUUUCGCCUUGAAUACUUCAGCAUGGAAUAAUAAGAUAGGACUUUGGUUCUAUUUUGUUGGUUUCUAGGACUAGAGUAAUGAUUAAUAGGGACAGUUGGGGGCAUUCGUAUUUAACUGUCAGAGGUGAAAUUCUUAGAUUUGUUAAAGACGAACUACUGCGAAAGCAUUUGCCAAGGAUGUUUUCAUUAAUCAAGAACGACAGUAGGGGGUUUGAAGACGAUUAGAUACCGUCGUAAUCUCUACCAUAAACUAUGCCGACUA